GGAGGAAAAGAAACUAACAAGGAUUCCCCUAGUAACUGCGAGUGAAGCGGGAAGAGCUCAAAUUUGUAAUCUGCCUUUUGGCCGAGUUGUAAUCUGGAGAAGCGUUAUCAGGCGCCGACCGCAUUAAAGUCUCUUGGAACAGGGCGUCACAGAGGGUGAGAAUCCCGUGAGUAAUGCGGCUGCGGCGUUGUAGAGGCGCUCUCGAUGAGUCGAGUUGUUUGGGAAUGCAGCUCAAAAUGGGUGGUAAACUCCAUCUAAAGCUAAAUAUUGGCGAGAGACCGAUAGCGAACAAGUACCGUGAGGGAAAGAUGAAAAGGACUUUGGAAAGAGAGUUAAAGAGUACGUGAAAUUGCUGAAAGGGAAGCGCUUGAAGUGAGUCGCGCGGGCAGGAUUCAGCUUUGCGUAUUUCCUGCCUGUGGGCCAGCAUCGACGGUGGGCGGCGGACAAGGGCGGUGGGAAUGUGGCACCUUCGGGUGUGUUAUAGCCCGCCGUCGUACACGCUGCCUUACGUCGAGGACUGCUUAUAGGAUGCUGGCGUAAUGGCUUUAAGCGACCCG
rnacentral:rRNA from 1 species